AUAACGCUGGCGUAUACAGGGGGAUAACACUUAGAAAUAGGUGCUAAUACCGCAUAAGCGCACGGUUCCGCAUGGAACAGUGUGAAAAACUCCGGUGGUAUACGAUGGAUCCGCGUCUGAUUAGCCAGUUGGCGGGGUAACGGCCCACCAAAGCGACGAUCAGUAGCCGGCCUGAGAGGGUGAACGGCCACAUUGGGACUGAGACACGGCCCAAACUCCUACGGGAGGCAGCAGUGGGGAAUAUUGCACAAUGGGGGAAACCCUGAUGCAGCGACGCCGCGUGAGUGAAGAAGUAUUUCGGUACGUAAAGCUCUAUCAGCAGGGAAGAAAAAAAGUCCUUUGGACUUUGGACGGUACCUGACUAAGAAGCCCCGGCUAACUACGUGCCAGCAGCCGCGGUAAUACGUAGGGGGCAAGCGUUAUCCGGAUUUACUGGGUGUAAAGGGAGCGUAGACGGCAGCGCAAGUCUGGAGUGAAAUGCCGGGGCCCAACCCCGGAACUGCUUUGGAAACUGUGCAGCUGGAGUGCAGGAGAGGUAAGCGGAAUUCCUAGUGUAGCGGUGAAAUGCGUAGAUAUUAGGAGGAACACCAGUGGCGAAGGCGGCUUACUGGACUGUAACUGACGUUGAGGCUCGAAAGCGUGNGGAGCAAACAGGAUUAGAUACCCUGGUAGUCCACGCC
rnacentral:rRNA from 1 species